CACAGGGAUUGCCCUAGUAACGGCGAGUGAAGCGGCAACAGCUCAAAUUUGAAAUCUGGCUCCUUCGGGGCCCGAGUUGUAAUUUGUAGAGGGUGCUUUGGCGUUGGCUCCGGCCUAAGUUCCUUGGAACAGGACGUCACAGAGGGUGAGAAUCCCGUACGUGGCCGGCUGCCUUCGCCGUGUAAAGCCCCUUCGACGAGUCGAGUUGUUUGGGAAUGCAGCUCUAAAUGGGAGGUAAAUUUCUUCUAAAGCUAAAUACUGGCCAGAGACCGAUAGCGCACAAGUAGAGUGAUCGAAAGAUGAAAAGCACUUUGGAAAGAGAGUCAAAAAGCACGUGAAAUUGUUGAAAGGGAAGCGCUUGCAGCCAGACUUGCCUGUAGUUGCUCAUCCGGGCUCCUGCCCGGUGCACUCUUCUAUAGGCAGGCCAGCAUCAGUUUGGGCGGCCGGAUAAAGGCCUCGGGAACGUAGCUCUCUUCGGGGAGUGUUAUAGCCCGGGGCGUCAUGCGGCCAGCCUGGACUGAGGUCCGCGCAUCUGCUAGGAUGCUGGCGUAAUGGCUGUAAGCGGCCCGUCUUGAAACACGGACCAAGGAGUCUAACAUCUAUGCGAGUGUUUGGGUGUCAAGCCCGGGCGCGUAAUGAAAGUGAACGGAGGUGGGAACCCCCCGGGGUGCACCAUCGACCGAUCCUGAUGUCUUCGGAUGGAUUUGAGUAAGAGCAUAGCUGUUGGGACCCGAAAGAUGGUGAACUAUGCCUGAAUAGGGUGAAGCCAGAGGAAACUCUGGUGGAGGCUCGCAGCGGUUCUGACGUGCAAAUCGAUCGUCAAAUUUGGGCAUAGGGGCGAAAGACUAAUCGAACUAUCUAGUAGCUGGUUCCUGC
rnacentral:rRNA from 1 species